UACGUAGGGUGCAAGCGUUAAUCGGAAUUACUGGGCGUAAAGCGCGCGCAGGCGGUUCUUUUAAGUCAGGGGUGAAAGCCCAGAGCUCAACUCUGGAAUUGCCUUUGAAACUAGAGAACUUGGGUACGGGAGAGGUGAGUGGAAUUCCGAGUGUAGAGGUGAAAUUCGUAGAUAUUCGGAAGAACACCAGUGGCGAAGGCGGCUCACUGGCCCGUUACCGACGCUCAGGCGCGACAGCGUGGGGAGCAAACAGG
rnacentral:rRNA from 1 species